CAUUGUAUGUAUAUUUGUAUGUAUGUGUAUAUAUGCAUGUGUGUAUGUAUACACUUACACACACACACACACACACACACACACACACACACAC
rnacentral:miRNA from 1 species